UCAAGACUAAUGUGAAACUACAAAAAGCUAACAACUUGAGUUUUCACAAGGUGUUGAAAAAGCAUUUAAAACUGAUUCUUACUUCAGCUAAGUCUUCCAGAAACCAGAGAGUGCUACUAAAUUCAACUGUGUAAGGGUCAUGAUGACAGAUUUUCUAUUAUUCUUUUCAGUAAGGCCUCAGUUUGUGGUGUGAAAUACUGGCUGCACACAGAGAAGAGGGCACACACUUAUCUGUGGGAGGUGAGAAGGUGGAAGAGAACUGUGUUUCUGCUGUCAGAAUGCUUUGCCUACAGGGAUGAUGGCUAGAGAAUGAAAGUACAGCAAGUUACAGAUGCAAUUACACUUCCUGUUUUCUCCAGUCCUGACAUUCCCACUGGAGCCUGUGUGCUCUGGAUCCUUUUCUAUACAAUGCAAGAUGGUCUGAAUUUGGAGCGGAAGAAACCAAAGAUAAAAUUUCCAGUUCUAUAUGAGAGUGUGGAACUCUUGAACUGGU